AUUGAACGCUGGCGGCAGGCCUAACACAUGCAAGUCGAGCGAGCGGCGGACGGGUGAGUAAUGUAUGGGGACCUGCAUGAUAGAGGGGGAUAACUACUGGAACCGGUGGCUAAUACCGCAUACUGUCGGAUGAACCGAUAUGGGAUUAGCUAGUAGGUGGGGUAAAGGCACACCUAGGGGACGAUCUCUAGCAGGUCUGAGAGGCUGAUCGGCCACACUGGGACUGAGACACGGCCCAGACUCCUACGGGAGGCAGCAGUGGGGAAUAUUGCACAAUGGGCGAAAGCCUGAUCCAGCCAUGCCGCGUGUAUGAAGAAGGCCUUAGGAUUGUAAAGUACUUUCAGCGGGGAGGCGUUACCCGCAGAAAAAGCACCGGCUAACUCCGUGCCAGCAGCCGCGGUAAUUC
rnacentral:rRNA from 1 species